ensembl:snoRNA LOC120101357 small nucleolar RNA SNORA17
AUAUGGAGGCAGUACAGGUGUGGCUGCUCUGUCACAUGGGCACCAGUAGAAGGAGGCUACUCAGUAUCUGACCUGUGAAUCUGAAUAGUUAGUAGCCUAACACU